rnacentral:rRNA from 1 species
GCUAGCGUUGCUCGGAAUCACUGGGCGUAAAGCGCCCGUAGGCGGUCUCUUCAGUCGGUGGUGAAAUCCUGGAGCUCAACUCCAGAACUGCCUUCGAUACUGGCGAUCUCGAGUUCGGGAGAGGUGAGUGGAACUGCGAGUGUAGAGGUGAAAUUCGUAGAUAUUAGGAAGAACACCGGUGGCGAAGGCGGCCCACUGGUCCGGUACUGACGCUGAGGUGCGAAAGCGUGGGGAGCAAACAGG